rnacentral:lncRNA from 1 species
AAACGGAGGCCUUCAGCCAACAGCUGGGAGAAGCUGAGUCCCAUCAGCCAUUCAAAAGACUGCAGCCCCAGCCAAGAGUUUGAUGUAACCUCAGGAGAGACCCUGAGCCAGAACCACCUAGAAAAGCUGGGAUACAUGAAGACUGCCAUCCCUUGAGUCACUUGCCCUGUAGCUGCCACUGUUGGAAAAGGGCUUGCUUCUGUGUCCUUGUGCCCACUUUGAAAAUCCCUGGGAAGUCCUUGGAGUCAGAUGAGCAGGCCUCCGCCACUCUGCCAAAAAGUCUGUUCAGAAGUUUCACAUCACUAGAGAAGAGAGAAGAAGGACAUUUGUACUGGGAGGAGUCGACCGGUCCCAGUAAGGAGAAAGUAGCUACAGCGUCAUGGGUGAGCUGGGUCCCCCAAAAAGGAACUUUAAGGGAAUGGACUGAAUCAAGUCUGAGAUGUCCCCAAAGCAAGACCAAAGAACUGAGGAAGAGAAGCAUUCAUCAGAAACCAAAAUUCAGCUACAAGUGAGCAUCCAGAUGGAGGUAUUAUGAAGAGGAACUGAGACUGAGGGCAAAAGGUGCCAGCCAGAAUCCUGGAUAGGAGAGCAAGAACCAGGACCUCAUUUAAGAGACAACCUGCUUAAGGCAGAGUAAGCACAAAUGGGCACUCAACAUCAAUGAAGUAACAGCAAAGUCACAUAAUAAAAGCAUGGAAUUAAGACAAGCUGAAGAUUCGGAUGCAAUAAAACAACCACCCAUUAUUA